CAUGACAGGUGCGGCCGCGAUCAGGGAUCAGUGACAGUGUCCACGCACGGCUAUUCUCGGCCUCAAUGUUCUCGUGGGCCCACAAAACACGGCGGGCAUCUGACUAUCUUUCUUUCUGGCGACUGGCGCGUGAUAGGAAGGCUCACAGCGGAAAGCACCGCAGAAAAGGCAGCACUUGUCAUCGGUUGGUGCAGCCACGGCGUCGAUUCUAGCUCCAGCUGUCUUGACCAAGACAACGGCUCACAAGAGACGAAACGAGCUCGCACCUGGUGCAGCAUGUUGUUGCAGCCCCAGGUUGUCGAAGCCUCCGCACACCGCAUGACCAUCGCAGGAGCACAGCGUAGCCCUAGCCACUGUUACAGCGGUUGGGCGUGGCGCAUGGGCCACGUGUCUCGCUUUGAGUGCACCCUCAGCUUGCGCGUGGCAUCGACAAAGCCUUAGGCGUCGCCUUCCACGCGUUGUCCUGUGCCGCGGAAAGCCUCACCGCAGCUUCCAUCCACGGGCACAUCGAAAUUCAGGGAAGCCAAUCACUACUCCGCUAUUCUUACUGUGGCUGAGGAAUGGUCCCCCGAAUUCUUGUACUUUUCAAGCAGUACGAGGACCUCCUGGCUGUUCUUCGGGAGGUUAUAGGCUUCCGUAAAAUCGGCUCUGCGAAGGUUGACCAGGAAGCCAGGUUACGACCAUGGAAUUUCACCGAUGACGCUCCGCUCCAAGAACCGGCGGAUGACAAAGCUCGCCGAUGACGGGGACUUUCCGGAUUUUUUUUUUUUCCUGUAAUCCUGGGGCAACUCGUACGCAGCUUCGCCUUUAUGAGCGUGAGAUCUUAUUUUUUGUUGGUUUUGAAAAAUAUAUUAUCAUAUAUGCCA